rnacentral:rRNA from 1 species
AGUGAACGCUGGCGGUAGGCCUAACACAUGCAAGUCGAACGGCAGCACAGUAAGAGCUUGCUCUUACGGGUGGCGAGUGGCGGACGGGUGAGGAAUACAUCGGAAUCUACUUUUUCGUGGGGGAUAACGUAGGGAAACUUACGCUAAUACCGCAUACGACCUACGGGUGAAAGCAGGGGAUCUUCGGACCUUGCGCGAUUGAAUGAGCCGAUGUCGGAUUAGCUAGUUGGCGGGGUAAAGGCCCACCAAGGCGACGAUCCGUAGCUGGUCUGAGUGGAUGAUGGGUCACACUGGAACUGAGACACCGUCCAGACUCGUACGGGAGGCAGCAGUGGGGAAUAUUGGACAAUGGGCGCAAGCCUGAUCCAGCCAUACCGCGUGAGUGAAGAAGGCCUUGGGGGUGGAGAGCCCUUUUGUUGGGAAAGAAAAGCAGCAGGUUAAUACCCCGCUGUUCUGACGGUACCCAAAGAAUAAGCACCGGCUAACUUCGUG